rnacentral:lncRNA from 1 species
UGGGGCUGCUCCUCUGUGAAGGAAGGGCGCCAGGGCUUCUGGAUUGUCCCACGUAGUCUCCGAGUUGUCCUCCGUGCUCGGUGUCGUCUGACCCCCUGAGCCCCUUCUGCAGGAGGACCAGUCUAUUCCUCCUCAAUGUAAGCGGUAGUCGGUGGAGCAAGAGAGUUCACAUAGCUGGCCGUUGAAGUCCAGUCCUGCUGUCCUGGAACUCCCUCUGUAGACCAACCUGAAUUCAAACUCACAUCCACCUGCCUCUGUCCCCUGAGUUCUGGAAUUAAAGGCAUGCACCACCAUGCCUGGCUUACAACAAAACUUUCAAGUGGAGACCCUUGGAUUUUAAUUCUUUCCUCUUCAGUCAAGACACUCAAACCACUUCUGUCAGCAUCUUCCAAUGUCACCACCUUGCAGAAAAAUGCAAUAGGAUCCAGGAAUAGUAACA